rnacentral:lncRNA from 1 species
AUGGUCAUAUUUCUCGACAAUGAUCAUGGCUUGUUCGAACAUUGUUGUACACUACCAUAUUUUUUAAGAUCCAAAGCCAUACCAUUAAACAUUCUCUAUAUAUAGCCUGCACGUAUAUCUCUACACACUACCAUAAUAUUGACAUCCAAGUCUAUCCAUCAAGUACAUAAAUUAAUAAUUCUUUGAACCACAUUGUCCUUUCCUUAAAAACACUUGCUUUGUUUUCCUUGAUCCAUGGCCCUACUCCAAAGC